UAGCUCAGUUGGUUCAGAGCACUGCCUUGACAGGGCAGGGGUCACUGGUUCGAAUCCAGU
rnacentral:tRNA from 1 species